rnacentral:rRNA from 1 species
CACGCAGGGCGCAAGCGUUGUCCGGAAUUAUUGGGCGUAAAGAGCUCGUAGGCGGUCUGUUGCGUCCGCUGUGAAAACUCGGGGCUUAACCCCGAGCCUGCAGUGGAUACGGGCAGACUAGAGGUAGGUAGGGGAGAAUGGAAUUCCCGGUGUAGCGGUGAAAUGCGCAGAUAUCGGGAGGAACACCGGUGGCGAAGGCGGCUUCCUGGACCAACACUGACACUGAGGAGCGAAAGCCAGGGGAGCAAACGGG